rnacentral:hammerhead_ribozyme from 1 species
GCACUGCUGAAGAGUCCCACAAUAGAAAGAAAUGGCCGUCCAGUGC